UACGUAGGUGGCAAGCGUUGUCCGGAAUUAUUGGGCGUAAAGCGCGCGCAGGCGGUCCUUUAAGUCUGAUGUGAAAGCCCACGGCUCAACCGUGGAGGGUCAUUGGAAACUGGGGGACUUGAGUGCAGAAGAGGAAGGCGGAAUUCCACGUGUAGCGGUGAAAUGCGUAGAGAUGUGGAGGAACACCAGUGGCGAAGGCGGCUUUCUGGUCUGUAACUGACGCUGAGGCGCGAAAGCGUGGGGAGCAAACAGGA
rnacentral:rRNA from 1 species